rnacentral:rRNA from 1 species
UAAUUUAAAGUCUAGCCUGCCCAAUGAUAAUUUUAAUGGCCGCAGUAUUUUGACUGUGCAAAGGUAGCAUAAUCAUUAGUUUCUUAAUUAGAAACUAGAAUGAAAGGUUGAACGAAAAAAUAACUGUCUCUUUAUAAUUUUUUUUAGAAUUUUAUUUUUGAGUUAAAAAGCUUAAAUAAAUUUGAAAGACGAGAAGACCCUAUAGAGUUUUAUAUUUUUUAAAAUUGAAUUUUUAAAAUAGAAUAAUUUUUAUUUAAUUGAAUAAAAUAUUUAAUUGGGGUGAUUGAAAAAUUUAAUUAACUUUUUUUAUAUUAGUACAUAAAUAUAUGAUUAAUUGAUCCAUUAUUAAUGAUUAUAAGAUUAAAUUACCUUAGGGAUAACAGCGUAAUUUUUUUUAAGAGUUCUUAUCGAUAAAAAAGUUUGCGACCUCGAUGUUGGAUUAAAAUUAAAAUUUGGUGUAGAAGCUAAAUUAUUAGGUCUGUUCGACCUUUAAAAUUUU